ACUAGGAAGGUGGGACGUUGGAGGGGUGGCCGCAUGGAGUGAGUACUGUCUCUGGCCACCGAGCAGAGCCAGUGACAGCAGCGUCCUGGUAGGCAGGCAGGCGUAUCAGGUUUCAGAGGAUGCGGCUGGGAACGGGAGUAGAGGUGAGGGGUCGUUGCAUCUGUCGCGGUGUGUAUCUUUUGGGGGUUCAGCGCCACCAGCGACUUGGGCCUCAUUCAUCGCGCUUACAUUUCUCCACCUCAUUUGAAGAACGAGCUUCGUAGCCCACGGAGCUGAGGUAUAUGAGCUCCCUGAAAGCACAAAGCAGUUAUUUCCAUCUUCAGAUCAUUCAGAGAUUAUGAAGGCACAAACCCUGCCUUCAAUUUGCUUAUAGUCAAGUGGAGCAGACACAAGUCAAUGAUUGCAGUAUAGCCACUGAAGUAAUCUAAAAGAGGUGGGGAGGCCACAGCUUAUGUGAAUGACUUUCUCAGGAGUUAUAAAGUGAUACAGACUUAUCAGCAGGUUGCAGGUGAACAUGGCCUUGAGAUGUUUUCUUCUAAAUAAAUGAGAAAGAUGUUUCAACAAAGGCUCUUUAUGCUGAAUAAUUGUGAUGCUUGAAGUUGCUAAUCUGCUUUAAGUGGAUUUUAAAUGUCAGGCAAUUCUAGACAGUUUUUUCUUGGUCAAAUAAAAAUUUAAUUAAAACUUUA
rnacentral:lncRNA from 1 species